UUGUGGAGGAGGACGCCGAAGGUGGGGCUAAUGACUGGGGUGAAGUCGUAACAAGGUAGCCGUACCGGAGGGUGCGGCUGGAUCACCUCCUAACAGGGAGACAACAAAAUGUAAAUAUUAAUUUUGUCACCUUAGGUCGAUCGGUAUCUCAGAUUCUUAUUUUUUUAAGAAUUUCAGUUUCUAAGUUUUUUCUAGGUCACACCCAUCACUUUUCCUGGGCCAUUAGCUCAGGUGGUUAGAGCGCACCCCUGAUAAGGGUGAGGUCCCUGGUUCAAGUCCAGGAUGGCCCAUAUCUCUAUGUUGGGGGUAUAGCUCAGUUGGUAGAGCGCCUGCUUUGCAAGCAGGAUGUCAGCGGUUCGAGUCCGCUUACCUCCACUGAAUACCACCUCUUACAUAUAUUUAAAGAGGGAAAUAGUUUUGAGUCGUGUCCUAAUUUGCUCUGAGCGAAUCUAGCUUCCUAUUUUAUUCACUAAAUAAGAUGCUGGACUCAUUGAAUUUUUUCAUUGUUUUCAGAGAACCUUGACAACUGCAUAGAUUAUUUUUGAAGACAAUAAGCAUCUUUAAUGAUGCAGAUUUAUUAUUUGUGCGAAUGCAUUAAAUAACAAUUCUAUUAAGCUGAUGCUUCAAUUAUUGAAGUUAUUGGUCAAGCUACAA
rnacentral:misc_RNA from 1 species